rnacentral:misc_RNA from 1 species
AAUUCUCAACCGAUCCUUGGAUCGGCUUGGACUUGGGAGCUUGUUGGGUCCGCUCGGCUCUCCUGAAAUGCAUUGCAUUAAGCUAACAUGCACGGCCUCUGACGUGAUAAUGAUCGUCGUAGCUGGAGCGUGGCGCUUGAUCAUCAGAUCGGCUUUAGCUACUAGUUUGUUAACGAACGAACGCGAGUCUAACCUAAUG